rnacentral:rRNA from 1 species
GACAUGGCUCAGGAUGAACACUAGCUACAGGCUUAACACAUGCAAGUCGAGGGGCAUCAGUUUGGUUUGCUUGCAAACCAAAGCUGGCGACCGGCGCACGGGUGAGUAACACGUAUCCAACCUGCCUCAUACUCGGGGAUAGCCUUUCGAAAGAAAGAUUAAUAUCCGAUAGCAUAUAUUUCCCGCAUGGGUUUUAUAUUAAAGAAAUUCGGUAUGAGAUGGGGAUGCGUUCCAUUAGUUUGUUGGG